rnacentral:tRNA from 1 species
GCAGUCGUGGCCGAGGGGUUAAGGCGAUGGACUAGAAAUCCAUUGGUCUUCCUCUCCCCGCACAGGUUCGAAUCCUUUCGACUGCG